CCCACCAUAAAAUGCUCCCACCGUAAAAAAUGCAACACCGGUGCUGACACAGUGAAGCUCUAUGCCGCCAAUGAUCCUGCCAGCAUCCAAGCUCUCGCACUCGCACCCGACCCGCCGCCACGCUGGCCUACCUGUUCCCUAAACCCUAGGUAUCCCGCGAUGCCGCGUGCGCUGCAGCUGCAGCAUACCCCGCUGCGGGACGUCGCGGUGAGGCGCCCCAAGAAUCGACGCCGCGGGGACGGCUGUCCCUGCCGCCGACGGCUAAGGGGACCGAGCCCGUGACGCCCGCCGAGGCGACGGCAACGGAGAAGAAGUGGAGAGUAAGCCUCGGGCCCGAUUCGUCCAGGGCGUUGUCGCGGAGCACACGCCAGGCGAAGUAGGUCGAGCACGCAGCCGAGAUGGAGGAGCACGAAUGUUGGUCGUGCUUCACCCACAGGGAGGCCCUCAUGGACAUGGAGAAGGGCAGGUCAACCUGUAUCCUGCGUCCCCCUCGCAGGAGAACCUCAACGGCACUCCUCUCUCCAUCGAAGGCUUUCUAUUCGCACUAUCGUCUCGAGCUUUUGACCGACACAUCAAGCUGGCCUCGAUCGAGAGCAGCCUGGCAGAAGAUACAUAAGUUCAAUCCAUGGCAGUGGGCUUCAGGAUGUUGUCAUCACAAGUUCUUGCUUUGUGGCUACUCAAAUUCUCAUAUUAAACUACUUUAUGAUUACUGUAGAGACAUGGUGUAAUUUUAUAAAAAAAUGCCAUGUAGAAGUUUCAAUCUUCACAAACUGUAGAGCUUUUCUUCAUGGAGAUGUUAUUUCUUAGUGUUUAUAGCUGUCUCCAGCAGUAUGUUAAAAUAUCCCUUUUGUGGGGCAAUCUGUUAAAUAGUUUCUUUAAAGCAUGUUUCAACAGAACAUGACAAUUUGCCAAAACCUAAUCACUCUAUCAAUGUAUGACAAACAACUAGAUACUACUAGGAAAAACACUCCUGCAUCUCUGCGAUGACAUGAUUCAACAGGAGAUAGGUCUCAUCUUUACACUCAGUUAAGCAAUGGUUCAGACAUUGGAAUUUGAAGCUUAGUUAACAUUUCAUUUCCAUCCUUGUCGUUUGAUAUGCUCAGGUCAUGCACUUGUUCUUAUGGAAGAAAAUUUAAAUUAAUUAUUCAUAUGUUCCCAAUAUGCUAGGAUCUUGACUUGCAAUGUGAGGAGUUAAUCCAGGAAGAAUCUGGCCUUCACUGCAAUGUUGAGGUCAUGCACGUGCGUUGCAAAGAUAAUAUAUGUUUCUCUAACACUGGAGUAUAUUGCCAUCAGUUUUCCUUAAUAGCUAUCAGUUUUCCUUAUACCAUGUUUUGUACAUAGGCCAGAGGCUCAUCUUUAGCAGUUUUAUUUUGGAAUUAUUGCUCAAGAUAUGGAAGUGUCAGUUUUCUGCUUGUUCUAUACACCCUUGCAGUUAUUAGGCUUGUGCUUCUUACCCUGUAACUCAGAACAAGAUGAGAAAGUGCUAACAUCAUUUCUUCUUCUUGCUCGACACAUACAAGUACUGGAGGUUGAGCAGCAGGUCAUUAGAGUUCAGGAACACCUUGUUGGCUAUGGCUUAAAUCGUCUGAGAGAUCUCCUUACACCUUCAAUCUGCUUCAGGGCAAGGAAGACAACAUUGUUUGCUAUGGCUUCAACAAUCAACUCGGCACUCUUAGCUGUGUUCAUAACAAUCUUUCAUAACAAUGUAUUCAGUUCUAAGUCCCCCAGGUCAAUUAUGUUUUAGCAUUUUUGCAGCACUUUGGUUGUUGCUGCCUGCUGGUCCUUUAUAUUGUAAGCCUCCUAGCAAGAAAAUUAAUGGCAUUUUUAGCCAAAACAACAUCCUGGGCGGGGAACACAUGAUCUGUUUUUUUCCUUAGAAAGUGUCUUGUGUUGUUGUACGUUUUCAUAAUCAAAGAUGGAUGCAUAUCUGAGUUACUGAUCA